AUUGAACGCUGGCGGCAGGCCUAACACAUGCAAGUAGAACGAGUGGCGGACGGGUGCGUAAUGUCUGGGAAACUGCCUGAUGGAGGGGGAUAACUACUGGAAACGGUAGCUAAUACCGCAUACCAUCAGAUGUGCCCAGAGGGGAUUAGCUAGUUGGUGGGGUAACGGCUCACCAAGGCGCCGAUCCCUAGCUGGUGUGAGAGGAUGACCAGCCACACUGGACCUGAGACACGGUCCAGACGCCUACGGGAGGCAGCAGUGGGGAAUAUUGCACACUGGGCUCAAUCCGGAUGCAGCCAUGCCGCGUGUAUGAAGAAGGCCUUCGGGUUGUAAAGUACUUUCAUCGGGGAGGCGUUACCCGCAGAAGAAGCACCGGCUAACUCCGUGCCAGCCGCCGCGGUAAUAC
rnacentral:rRNA from 1 species